rnacentral:pre_miRNA from 15 species
GCCCAAGGCUGCCGCUCGGCCCACACUCUCUCCAUUACACUACCCUGCCUCUUCUCCACGAGAGGCAGCUGGGUGUAGCGGAUAGAGCACGGGUUCAAGUCCCAGCUCCACCGC